AGUGAACGCUGGCGGUAGGCCUAACACAUGCAAGUCGAACGGCAGCACAGUAAGAGCUUGCUCUUACGGGUGGCGAGUGGCGGACGGGUGAGGAAUACAUCGGAAUCUACUUUUUCGUGGGGGAUAACGUAGGGAAACUUACGCUAAUACCGCAUACGACCUACGGGUGAAAGCAGGGGAUCUUCGGACCUUGCGCGAUUGAAUGAGCCGAUGUCGGAUUAGCUAGUUGGCGGGGUAAAGGCCGACCAAGGCGACGAUCCGUAGCUGGUCUGAGAGGAUGAUCAGCCAAACUGGAACUGAGACACGGUCCAGACUCCUACGGGAGGCAGCAGUGGGGAAUAUUGGACAAUGGGCGCAAUCCUGCUCCAGCCAUACCGCGUGGGUGAAGAAGGCCUUCGGGUUGUAAAGCCCUUUUGUUGGGAAAGAAAAGCAGCAGGUUAAUACCCCGCUGCUCUGACGGUACCCAAAGAAUAAGCACCGGCUAACUUCGUG
rnacentral:rRNA from 1 species